rnacentral:rRNA from 1 species
GACAGAGGGUGCAAACGUUGUUCGGAAUUACUGGGCGUAAAGCGCAUGUAGGCGGCCUAGCAGGUCGGAUGUGAAAUCCCUCGGCUCAACCAAGGAAGUGCAUUCGAAACCGCAAGGCUGGAGUCCCGGAGAGGAUGGUGGAAUUCUCGGUGUAGAGGUGAAAUUCGUAGAUAUCGAGAGGAACACCGGUGGCGAAGGCGGCGACCUGGGUAGAUACUGACGCUGAGGCGCGAAAGCGUGGGGAGCAAACAGG